rnacentral:rRNA from 1 species
ACUCCUACGGGAGGCAGCAGUGGGGAAUAUUGCACAAUGGGCGCAAGCCUGAUGCAGCCAUGCCGCGUGUAUGAAGAAGGCCUUCGGGUUGUAAAGUACUUUCAGUCGUGAGGAAGGCGGCGUCGUUAAUAGCGGCGUUGUUUGACGUUAGCGACAGAAGAAGCACCGGCUAACUCCGUGCCAGCAGCCGCGGUAAUACGGAGGGUGCGAGCGUUAAUCGGAAUUACUGGGCGUAAAGCGCAUGCAGGUGGUUUGUUAAGUCAGAUGUGAAAGCCCGGGGCUCAACCUCGGAAUUGCAUUUGAAACUGGCAGACUAGAGUACUGUAGAGGGGGGUUAGAAUUUCAGGUGUAGCGGUGAAAUGCGUAGAGAUCUGAAGGAAUACCGGUGGCGAAGGCGGCCCCCUGGACAGAUACUGACACUCAGAUGCGAAAGCGUGGGAGCAAACAGGAUUAGAUACCCCGUGGUAGGACAGUG